rnacentral:rRNA from 1 species
AUUGAACGCUGGCGGCAUGCCUUACACAUGCAAGUCGAACGGCAGCGCGGGAGCAAUCCUGGCGGCGAGUGGCGAACGGGUGAGUAAUACAUCGGAACGUGCCCAAUCGUGGGGGAUAACGCAGCGAAAGCUGUGCUAAUACCGCAUACGAUCUACGGAUGAAAGCAGGGGAUCGCAAGACCUUGCGCGAAUGGAGCGGCCGAUGGCAGAUUAGGUAGUUGGUGAGGUAAAGGCUCACCAAGCCUUCGAUCUGUAGCUGGUCUGAGAGGACGACCAGCCACACUGGGACUGAGACACGGCCCAGACUCCUACGGGAGGCAGCAGUGGGGAAUUUUGGACAAUGGGCGAAAGCCUGAUCCAGCCAUGCCGCGUGCAGGAUAAAGGCCUUCGGGUUGUAAACUGCUUUUGUACGGAACGAAACGGUCUUUUCUAAUAAAGAAGGCUAAUGACGGUACCGUAAGAAUAAGCACCGGCUAACUACGUG